rnacentral:rRNA from 1 species
GAGUGAACGCUGGCGGCGUGGAUUAGGCAUGCAAGUCGAACGGUAUCAUCCUUUCGGGGGUGAGAGAGUGGCGAACUGGUGAGUAACACGUAGGUUAUCUACCCUCAAGACGGGACAACCCAGGGAAACUUGGGCUAAUACCGGAUGUGAGCAACUUUUAGUUGUUUGAAAGGUGGCGUAAGCUGUCGCUUGGGGAUGAGCCUGCGUCCUAUUAGUUAGUUGGUGAGGUAACGGCUCACCUAGGCAAUGAUAGGUAGGCGGCCUUAACGGGUGGUCGCCCACACUGGGAUUGAGAUACGGCCCAGACUCCUACGGGAGGCAGCAGUCGAGAAUAGUCUACAAUGGUCGGAAGACUGAUAGUGCGACGCCGCGUGAACGAUGAAUCCCUUCGGGGUGUAAAGUUCUUUUAUAUGUGAGCAGUGCUUCUUAUAUUAACAGUAUGGGGAGAGAGAUAUUAGCAUAUGAAUAAGCAACGGCUAACUCCGUG